AUUGAACGCUAGCGGGAUGCCUUACACAUGCAAGUCGAACGAGUGGCGGACGGGUGAGUAAUAUAUCGGAACGUGCCCAGUAGCGGGGGAUAACUACUCGAAAGAGUGGCUAAUGCCGCAUACCAUUGGUGAGGCCGAUAUCGGAUUCUCUAGUGGGUGGGGUAAAGGCGCACCAAGGCAACGAUCCGUAGCUGGUUUGAGAGGACGACCAGCCACACUGGGACUGAGACACGGCCCAGACUCCUACGGGAGGCAGCAGGGGGGAAUUUUGGACAAUGGGGGAAAUCCUGAUCCAGCCAUCCCGCGUGUGUGAGAAGGCCUUCGGGUUGUAAAGUACUUUUGGCAGAGAAGCGGUAUCUUCAGAAUAAGCACCGGCUAACUACGUGCCAGCAGCCGCGGUAAUAC
rnacentral:rRNA from 1 species